rnacentral:rRNA from 1 species
GUCUGCAACUCGACUACAUGAAGCUGGAAUCGCUAGUAAUCGCGAAUCAGAAUGUCGCGGUGAAUACGUUCCCGGGUCUUGUACACACCGCCCGUCACACCAUGGGAGUCAGUAACGCCCGAAGUCAGUGACCCAACCGAACAGGAGGGAGCUGCCGAAGGUGGGACCGAUAACUGGGGUGAAGUCGUAACAAGGUACC